rnacentral:rRNA from 1 species
CACAUAGUUAGCCGAGGCUUAUUCCUGAGGUACCGUCCUUUCUCUUCCCCAGAAAAGGGUUUUACGACCGAAGGCCUUCAUCACCCACGCGGCGUUGCUGCCUCAGGCUUUCGCCCAUUGGGCAAUAUUCCUC